CUUCUUUGUCUUGAACAGAGUUGACUUAAAGAAAUAAGUACUUUUGCUAUGAAGCUCGUUCUUGGAGAGAAUGAAGCAUAAACUGUAGAAUGUUCUCAGAGCAUUCUUGAACCAGAAUUCAAGAUUUUCUUCAAUGAGUGAGACACGUGAUCUUGAUCAAUUAACUUGAAAUCUUGCUGCUGCAAAACUUCCCACAAUUCCUCUUUGAUGUUUUGCACACAUGGUUGCUUGCUCAUUGAUGAUCUUUAAGAUUCUUUAGUGGUGGCAUGAGAGUACUCAUCAUUGAGAAUGAUUAAAACUUUUAUUCCUUGUGCAUAAGCUCCUUUGAAAAACUCAUGGACCAUCAUUCUCAAAC
rnacentral:lncRNA from 1 species